rnacentral:lncRNA from 7 species
CUUACACAGACAGGUAUUGUGUGCCUGGUGCUUCAGCGUCUGACUCUUAAGAGAAUCCCUCAGACUUGACACAGAACGCAGCCCCCUGGAGAGGCUUGGGCUCAGGCAUUGGCUGUGUGGGACAGACAGGAGAUGCUAUCUCAGCAGAGGCCUGGCAGGCUCAUGAAAUCUGUCCAGUGAUGGAAGAAAACUUGGAGGAGCCAGGUGCAGAAAUCCCCAGCGGGCUUCCUGUCUGUUUCCAGUGGUCAGAAAGAUGGAGUUUCAAUCAAAACCGAUCACCAGAAACAUUUCAAAGAGGACCUUCUUGCAGAAUCUCAAGCAUCUUCCUUUUAUCGUGUUGAAUUCUUCUUUGUUAAUGCUGCCUUCUCUUCAUGAUGGAAAUGAUAUGUCUGCCUAAGGUGAACACCUGAUGUACAUGGUCAGUAGAUGUUGGAUCAGAUGAAUCCCCCCAGAUUUGUGAGGAAGUCUCUGGAUGGAAAGCCGCACUGGUUUCUGCUCAGUGUUUCUUGAGAAGGCAGCCUAAUUCAAAAACAUACAAUCCAAAUGGCUUGCACUGGGAGGGACCUUGAAGAUCAUCUAGCUCCAGCUCCAAAUUUUUGCUUGUGAUUGUUUUUAAAGCUUCUUGAAAUAUUUCAAUAUUUCAGCUUUACCGAGAAAAGUUCCAGGGAAGCUGCCUGAUCUCUGACGGAUGCAUCAUCAAAACUUCAGUCUUGCAUAUUUUGCACCUAUGUACUCAAACCCAUCUCCUGCCUGGGUCCAGAAGGGUGGUUUUCUUACUCUGACCUGUUCUUCAGGGCCCUCUGGUAGCAUCAGUAAUUUCAUCAAAUGGUUGGAUUUGUAUUCUUGCCUGUAAUUCUGUUGUGACUUACAAUAAUUAGUGGCUGUGGUGAAUCACCAGGAAGUGAUGAUUGCAUGGAGCAAAAGAUAUUUUGGAGAAAAUCUGUCUUAAAACAGCCAGUCAAGCUGCAGGAUACCAGCUUAGCCUGGACCUGACCAUGUUCCCCAUGGAAACAUUUGUACCUUGUGGACAAAAACCUUUAGGGACAUUCAGACAGCUGUAUUCAUUAACUUCUUUAGGCUUAUCUGCAUGCAGUUUCAUGGUCCUCUGAGAGUUUAGGUACGGGAUUCUGGGAGAAACCUUAGUCACAGUGUUCUUCAGAUCCACAUUCUCUCAACUUAACUGUGUAGUUAUACAGAAUAUCUGUUUUCUCUAUAUGCUUGCAUUACUAAGCAUUUUAACUGUGGAUCAGUGCGUUCAUACAAAACAACUUACUAAUUCAUCACAAUAGAAAGCAACUUUACCUCACCUGUAAGAUUUGUGAAAUGUAUUAGUAUGCAACAUGUGAAACAAUUUGUGUGUAAUAUGCACCCUCAUUACAAAUAGUAAGGAAUUCUUUUUGUGCAAGAAAUAAAUUUUCUGUGUUUGGGUUCUUCCUCACUCCUGACAUUUAACAAAGGACUGGCAAUUCAUAGUCUGACUCAAUUUGUGACAGUGUUAAAAAGAGAAGUUUUACUAAACAAAGACUUUGGAAGUCUAAUAUGAGAACCUGGUCAAGUUUUGGUUGUCCAUAUUAAACAUGUGGCAGUGAACACUAGGUGUUCAAGUAUGUGUCUAUCUGAUACAGAAUGAUUUUCAUGCUGAUGAGAAGAAUGUUCUGUAGCAAAGCAUCUCACUUGGCCUAUAUUUUUAUAGCUACUAUGGCUGAGGACAUCUAACCUUUGACUAAUGUUUUUGAGACUGUAGUGCUGUCUUUCAUGAAAUCUAGUCAAUGUUAUAAGCAAUGAUCAGAAAAUAUUUCCUUGAAAGCUUGGUUAAGGUAUCCUCCUUUCUUCAGAGAUGUCUCUAUUUGGGAUCCAUUUUCACUGAAAGUAGCCUUUACUCAGAAGAUAAGCUUUAUGUUCAGUUUGCAUGCUAAAUUGAAGAUCAGCACAUAAAGCUCUUUGUUAGAAAACACUAGAUAUGCACCAAGAAGAUAUGCAAAAUGUAAAAUGAACAUUUAGACUCUCUGAAAUUUCAGCCUCGUUGUUAAAAAUUGCAAACUGUAGUUAAAUACUAUGUCAGUCACCCAACCAAAAUCAUCAAAGUUUGACAUGCAAUCAGGAUUAUAUUGUUAAAAGCUUAUCCUAUGCCAGGAGGAAUCAUUUUACUGUUCCCUUUGUCAGGACCUACGUGAUUAAAAGUUGGAUGCACACACAUUGUUCCACUAGCAAUGUGUGCGGUGCCUUCUGAGCAACAGAUUAAAGAAUUCCUGUAUUUUAAAUACAUUUCUUUUCUCCACAGUGUGAAUCACAUAAUCCCCCUCUUAUCCAUUUUAAUAAGCUGUGCUUUAUGCUGAUCUAGUGACUGAACAUUUGAUAAGGAUUAUAAAAAUGUGUUACGUUUAUGUUAAAUCACCAACUCUGCUCUUUGAAUCAGACUUCAAUAAAGAAUAUGG